CCUAUAAGCGCCAGGGAAUUACGAGCUAUGCUUAAAACCCAAAGGAUUUGACGGUGUCCCACCCCCCUAGAGGAGCCUGUUCUAUAAUCGAUGAUCCCCGCUACACCCGACCACUUCUUGCUUAUCAGUCUGUAUACCUCCGUCGAAAGCUUACCAUGUGAACGCCACCCACAGUAGGUUCAAUGACCCCCGUCAAUACGUCAGGUCAAGGUGCAGCUUAAGAAGUGGGAAGUGAUGGGCUACAAUUUCUAAUCUAGAACAAACGAAAGACUAUGUGAAACCCUAGUCACGAAGGCGGAUUUAGCAGUAAAAAGAAAAUAGAGUGUUCUUUUUAAUCUGGCUCUGGGACGCGUACACACCGCCCGUCACCC
rnacentral:rRNA from 1 species